rnacentral:rRNA from 1 species
UAAACUACGAUUAGAUACCCUAUUAUUCUAAGCGUUAAAUUUGAACCAGAGUAGUAAGAGUUAUGAGCUUGAAACUCAAAGAAUUUGGCGGUGUUUUAGUCCAUUCAGAGGAACCUGUCCCGUAAUCGAUAAUCCACGUUUACUUAACUUAAAUUUGUUUUCAGCUUGUAUACCGCCGUCAAAAGAGUGAUUCGAGAGAAUAUCCUCCAAUACUUUAAUUAAGGUUUAUGUCAGGUCAAGGUGCAGCUUAUGUUUAAGGGGAGAUGGGUUACAAUAAGGAUACUUAUACGGAUGCUUGGUUGAAAUUCUAGGCUGAAGGUGGAUUUGAGUGUAACAAUAUUUAGGGAAAAGUUAUGAAAGUGGCUCUAAAACAAGCACACAUCGCCCGUCGCUCUUA